rnacentral:rRNA from 1 species
UAGUACGUGAAACUGGUUAGGUGGAAUCGGAUAGAGCAAUCGAAAGAUGGUUACAAUGAGUUGAUCGGGUGUUGGCUUCGGCUCAGCGCUCGGUUGAUGCACUUGUGACUCGUUGCGCUGGCACGGCUGAUGGUGCCGUUGGAAGUGGGCCUAGAGGAGCUGCUCUUCGGAGGGGCAAACCUGAGCUCAUGGAAAACGAGUUGCUGUUAGUCGGAGUUGCGUUUGCGCGGUAUCGCGGUGAGUGCGCUAUGAACGUUGUUGUCGGGUUGGUGUCUUCGCGUGCGAGGGCCCUUUUCGAUGGCGCCGCUCAUGGUGUUAUGAUCCGUGAUGCUUGCCAGUGUACAAACUGAUUGUCACCUAUCCGUCCCGUCUUGAAACACGGACCAAGGAGUUUAUCGCAUAUGCGAGUUAUUGGGUGAUGAAAACCUAAUGGCGUAAUGAAAGUAAAGGUUUCGCUUGCGGAGCUGAUAUGUGAUCCGGGUGCCUUUCGAGGCUUCGGCGCAGCAUAGCCCCAUCUCUAAUGCUUGCAUUGGGGUGGAGGAAGAGCAUAUACGAUGAGACCCGAAAGAUGGUGAACUAUGCCUGGGCAGGAUGAAGCCGGAGGAAACUCUGGUGGAAGUCCGUAGCGGUUCUGACGUGCAAAUCGAUCGUCUGACCUGGGUAUAGGGGCGAAAGACUAAUCGAACCAUCUAG